rnacentral:rRNA from 1 species
UACGAAGGGGACUAGCGUUGUUCGGAAUUACUGGGCGUAAAGCGCACGUAGGCGGAUUUGUAAGUCAGGGGUGAAAUCCCGGGGCUCAACCUCGGAACUGCCUUUGAUACUGCAAAUCUCGAGUCCGAUAGAGGUGGGUGGAAUUCCUAGUGUAGAGGUGAAAUUCGUAGAUAUUCGGAGGAACACCAGUGGCGAAGGCGGCUCACUGGCUCGAUACUGACGCUGAGGUGCGAAAGCGUGGGGAGCAAACAGG